rnacentral:lncRNA from 1 species
CGCCAAGUUCGUCCAGCGGAAAAAGGCCACAAAAACGGGUGGGCUAUAGCCUUGGGGGGUGGGGCUGCCCAACUUUGUCCGCCGGACUCGGAAUGGACCGAGACUAUGUGAGGCACCUCCGUGUGCCAAAAAUAGGCCGCAGGCCCACGACGUCCAAAAAUAACCGACCGAAGGCCGGGGCGCCAAGUUCAUCCAGCGGAAAAAGGCCACAAAAACGGGUGUGUUAUAGCCUUGGGGGAUGGGGCUGGCCAACUUCGUCCGCCGGACUCGGAAUGGCACGAGACUUUGCGAGGGGCCUCCGUGUGCCAAAAAUAGGCAGCGGGCACAGUCGCGCCCAAAAAUAACCGCCCGAAGGCCGGUGCGCCAAGUUCGUCCAGCGGAAAAAUCCCACAAAAACGGGUGGGCUAUAGCCUUGGGGGGUGAGGAAGGCCAACUUCGUCCGCCGGACUCGGAAUGGUGCGAGACAUUGCGAGGCGCCUCCGUGUGCCAAAAAUAGGCCGCGGGCGCAGCCGCGCUGAAAAUAACCGCCCGAAGGCCGGGGCGCCCAGUUCGUCCAGCGGAAAAACCCCACAAAAACGGGUGGGCUAUAGCCUUGGGGGGUGGGGCUGACCAACUUCGUCCGCUGGACUCGGAUUGGCGCGAAACUUUGCGAGGCGACUCUGUGUGCCAAAAAUAGGCAGCGGGCACAGCCGCGUCCAAAAAUAACCUCCCGAAGGCCGGGGCGCCAAGUUCGUCAAGCGGAAAAAGCCCACAAAAACGGGUGGGCUAUAGCCUUGGGGGGUGGGGCUGGCCAUAUUCGUCCGCCGGACUCGGAAUGGCGCGAGACUUUGUGAGGCGCCUCCGUGUGCCAAAAAUAGGCAGCGGGCACAGUCGCGCCCAAAAAUAACCGCCCGAAGGCCGGUGCGCCAAGUUCGUCCAGCGGAAAAAUCCCACAAAAACGGGUGGGCUAUAGCCUUGGGGGGUGAGGAAGGCCAACUUCGUCCGCCGGACUCGGAAUGGCGUGAGACUUUGCGAGGUUCCUCCGUGUACCAAAAAAAGGCCGUGGGCACAGCCGCGCCCAAAAAUAACCGCCCGAAGGCCCGGGCGCCAAGUUCAUCCAGCGGAAAAAGGCCACAAAAACAGGUGGGCUAUAGCCUUGGGGGGUGGGGCUGGCCAACAUCCCCCGCCGGACUCGGAAUGGCGCGAGACUUUGCGAGGCACCUCCGUGUGCCAAAAACAGGCCGUGGGCACAGCCGCGUCCAAAAAUAACCGCCCGAAGGCCGGGGCGCCAAGUUCGUCCAGCGGAAAAAGGCCACAAAAAAGGGUGGGCUAUAGCCUUGGGGGGUGGGGCUGGCCAACUUCGUCCGCCGGACUCGGAAUGGCGCGAUACUUUUCAAGGCACCUCCAUGUGCUAAAAAUAGGCAGUGGGCACGGCCGCACCCAAAAAUAACCGCCGGAAGGCCGGGGCGCCAAGUUCGUCCAGCGGAAAAAGGCCACAAAAACGGGUGGGCUAUAGCUUUGGGGGGUGGGGCUGGCCAACUUCGUCCGCCGGACUCGGAAUGGCGCGAGAGUUUUCGAGGCACCUCCGUGUGCCAAAAAUAGGCCGCGGGCACAGCCGCGCCCAAAAAUAACCGCCCGAAGGCCGGGGCGCCAAGUUCGUCCUGCGGAAAAAGGCCACAAAAACGGGUGGGCUAUAGGCUUGGGGGGUGGGGCUGGCAAACUUCGUCCGCCGGACUCAGAAUGGUGCGAGACAUUGCAAGGCGCCUCCGUGUGCCAAAAAUAGGCCGCGGGCGCAGCCGCGCUGAAAAAUAACCGCCCGAAGGCCGGGGCGCCAAGUUCGUCCAGCGGAAAAAUCCCACAAAAACGGGUGGGCUAUAGCCUUGGGGGGUGAGGAAGGCCAACUUCGUCCGCCGGACUCGGAAUGGCGUGAGACUUUGCGAGGUUCCUCCGUGUACCAAAAAAAGGCCGUGGGCACAGCCACGCCCAAAAAUAACCGCCCGAAGGCCCGGGCGCCAAGUUCAUCCAACGGAAAAAGGCCACAA